UCGUCCCGCUCGCGGUGUCCGUUCGCGUCCGUCCGUUCGUUCGUUCGUUCGUUCGUUCGUUUUUGUUUUCAAGUCGUUUAUUUAUUGUUAUUUUAUUAUUAUUAUUGUUAUUAUUUUUUUUUUUCACUCCUUACCCGUCGCGUUAUUUACUCCGAACGGCGAAUAUUAUCGCGCAGUUAUCGUUAUCAUCGUCGUCCGUCGCGAAUCGCGCGCCGCACCGUCCGGCCACGCGUGUAUUUCGGUCAUCGGCAAGAUAGUUGUAUAUUA